UACGGGGGGGGCAAGCGUUGUUCGGAAUUACUGGGCGUAAAGGGCUCGUAGGCGGCCAACUAAGUCAGACGUGAAAUCCCUCGGCUCAACCGGGGAACUGCGUCUGAUACUGGAUGGCUUGAAUCCGGAAGAGGGAUGCGGAAUUCCAGGUGUAGCGGUGAAAUGCGUAGAUAUCUGGAGGAACACCGAUGGCGAAGGCAGCCCCCUGGGAUGAGACUGACGCUCAUGUACGAAAGCGUGGGGAGCAAGCAGG
rnacentral:rRNA from 1 species